AGAUAUCAGAGAACAAUUUACCUUAUUGAAUCAAUCCUUUAUAUGGCACUUUUAAUAAUUAUAAGUUAAUAAAACUGUGCUAUUCUAAGCAAUCCUCAGUCUGCUUUUUGAUGGUUUGCAUUUUAAAUGUCCUUCAUUGUUUGUUUCAUUGAUUUUUUUACAGGUAACAUCUUCCAGGAGUAUAAAGUCUGUUACCUAUUAGGCAGUGGAUCGAAUGGAGCUGUCUAUUAUGGAAUUCGUCUGUCGGAUUACCGAAAGGUUGGUUUCAAACAUAACAAAGUGACGUUGUGCUUUUUUCCUGCAAUGUCAUGACUGAAUCAUGUGAGCUAACUGUGGCUUUCUCUUGGUGAACAGGUGGCAAUCAAAUACGUCAAGAAGACAACUACAAUGAGUAGGAUCAAGAUUGAAGCAUUACAGCAGACCGUUCCACAAGAAGUCGGUUUGAUGUAUUUGAUGAGCAGGGGCCCUAACGUUCCUCAAAUAAUCCAGCUGCUGGAUUGGUACGAGACACCCGACAAGUACAUACUGGUGCUGGAGUGUCCCAAAUCAUGUAUGGACAUGCACCAGUUUGUAAUGCGGCAUGGGAACAAAAUCAGCGAGGCGAAAGCGCGACUGGUGAUGCACCAGGUGGUCACUGCUGCCAGAAUAUGCUGCGAAAGGGGCGUCUACCACAGCAGCAUCAAGCUGGAGAACCUGCUUAUCAACCCUCACACCUUUCAAGUCAAACUGAUAGACUUUGGCACUGGAAGACCCAUGAAAAACACUGGCUAUUCAACAUACUGGGGUAUGUAUGAUAACAGUCACGAUUUAGCCUAAGCCCUAUGGCAAAGGUGAUGAGAGUUAUUUUGUAAAUAUGGAUAUUUAGACAGCAUUGGGAUGCAAUCUCGCUCUUUCUUCCAGGCUCAAAAGCUUGUGUUCCCCCGGAGUUUUAUCGUCAUGGAAGAAAGUUCUACGCCAAGCAUGCAAUCGCGUAUUCUUUAGGAGUACUGUUGUUCAAGAUGCUGUGUGGACGAUUCCCUAAAGAAGAGCUCAACAAGAUUGUCAAAAGAACCUGGCAGCCUGAAGAGCUAUCCAACGGUGAGAGCAUGCGGAUGAUGAAACAAGAACUUUGAAAUAAUUUACACCAACCGUAAGGUUUGUGACAUAACCUGACAUCUGUUCCUUCUUUCUUCACAGAAUCCAUAGAUCUGAUCUGUUCCUGUCUGCAAAGUGAUCCAGACAAGCGGAUGCCUUUUGAUGAGAUCCUUCUUCAUAAAUGGUUCCAGGUCUUGAUCCUGAAGCCAAGCGGAAAGAAGAAACAAUUGAGUGGAUUAAAAAGGUUUAGACUGAAAUUAAGAUAACAGCACAGCUGAAGAAGAUCCUGGGACAUGAAGAAGAUUACACCAAGCUCCUUCUCUUCAUCCAGCUACUAACACCAAACUCCUCCUCUUCAUCGAGCAACCUAACACCAAACUCCUCCUCUUCAUCGAGCAACCUAACACCAAGCUCCUCCUCUUCACCAAGGCAUUAACACCAAGCUCCUCUUCUUUAUUCAGCUACAAAAAUUCAUCGAGCCACAAACAUGGGGCAGUUUGUGGCUUGACGAAUAGAAAGAGCUGAAUGGGGCUGGUGUUUGUGCUUGCGUGAAAAGGAGGAGCUAAUUGGGGCUGGUGUUUGUUGUUGCACGACAAGGAGGAGCUAAUUGAGGCUGGUGUUUAUGGUUGCACGAAAAAGAGCUGAAUGGAGCCGGUGUUCGUGUCUAGAUGGAGAGAAGGAGGGGCGGCACGGUGGCUCAGUGGUUAGCACUGUUGCCUCACAGCAAGAAGGUCGCUGGAUCCAGUCCCGGCUGGGCCAGUUGGCUUUUCUGUGUGGAGUUUGCUUAUUCUCCCCGUGUUCGCGUGGGUUUCCUCCGGGUGCUCCGGUUUCCCCCACAGUCCAAAGACAUGUCCUAUAGGAUUGUGUAUAUAUGUUUGAUGUUUGAUGAAUAAAAAUGAGCACAUUUGAAAUAUAAAGUGUUUUUCAUUUCACUCAAUAUGAACUUCAUGCACUCCUACAGUUAAAGUGUUGAACU